GGGUCUUCUUGGAUGAUCGCUCCCUCAGAUGAUGGGGGAGAGGAAAGUCCGAGCAUCAAAGGACAACGUAGUGGGUAACGCCCAUCUCCCGUUCGGUUGUGUAAAGAUAGAACGGGACGGAUCUCCGCAAUCCGCGACAUCAAACAGCGGAGCGGGCUCACCACCAUUCAUGGCGUGCAAGUACGCCUUGAUUCCGUGGUGAGAGAGCCACAGAGACGAGUCCUGUAUAAGGUAAAGCCUGGUGCAGGGGUGAAACGCGGCAAUCUCUACGUGAUGAAAGGCCAAACAGGAUGAGAGUCGGGUUCAAAAUGUUAACUCGUUUCGAACCCGAGAGAAGCGGUCCGCUUCCUGACCCGCACCAAGCGGAACGAGCAUCGGGUAGGCCGCUAGAGAUCUCGCUGUCUCCGUUAUCCUAUGACGGAACGCAGAAAGUGAUUGGGAUCCCAGAGAGAUGAUCAUCACUGUCCGAGGUGGGAUAUUGUUCCUCGAACAGACAGAACUCGGCUUAUAGAGAAGAUCCUUUU
rnacentral:RNase_P_RNA from 1 species